rnacentral:rRNA from 1 species
AGCAGCCGCGGUAAUUCCAGCUCCAAUAGCGUAUAUUAAAGUUGUUGCAGUUAAAAAGCUCGUAGUUGAAUUUCGGGAUUAGUGCGCUGGUCAUGCCUUUGGUAUGUACUGGUGUUACUGAUUUCUACCUUCUGAAGAACCGUUAUGUCAUUUAUUUGGUGUGGCGGGGAAUCAGGACUGUUACUUUGAAAAAAUUAGAGUGUUUAAAGCAGGCUCGCGCUUGAAUACAUUAGCAUGGAAUAAUGAAAUAGGACGUUUGACCCUAUUUUGUUGGUUUCUAGGAUCGACGUAAUGAUUAAUAGGGAUAGUUGGGGACAUUAGUAUUCAAUUGUCAGAGGUGAAAUUCUUGGAUUUAUUGAAGACUAACUACUGCGAAAGCAUUUGCCAAGGAUGUUUUCAUUAAUCAAGAACGAAAGUUAGGGGAUCGAAGACGAUCAGAUACCGUCGUAGUCUUAACCAUAAACUAUGCCGACUAGGGAUCGGAUGAUGUUAAUUUUUAAUGACUCAUUCGGCGCCUUAA